GGGCCAGUUGGUGCAACCGCAACGAAAUAUUUUGGGAGCACCGGUGAACGCCCAUAGGAGUCAAUGCAUUUCGUAACUCGCGACUAUGAAAGAGAUUCAUACCGCAGUCCCUCAUUAACGAAAUUUUUGAAACACGAGUGUGCAAAUAAUCUACUC
rnacentral:lncRNA from 1 species